AGCAGCCGCGGUAAUUCCAGCUCCAAUAGCGUAUAUUAAAGUUGUUGCAGUUAAAAAGUUCGUAGUUGAAUUUCGGAAUCAGUACGCUGGUCGUGCCUUAGGUAUGCACUGGUGUCACUGGUUCCUCCCUUCUGACGAACCGUCAUGCUAUUAAUUUAGUGUGGCGGGAAAUCAGGACUGUUACUUUGAAAAAUUAGAGUGUUUAAAGCAGGCUCACGCUUGAAUACAUUAGCAUGGAAUAAUGAAAUAGGACGUUGAUCUUAUUUUGUUGGUUUCUAGGAUUGACGUAAUGAUUAAUAGGGAUAGUUGGGGGCAUUGGUAUUCAAUUGUCAGAGGUGAAAUUCUUGGAUUUAUUGAAGACUAACGACUGCGAAAGCAUUUGCCAAGGAUGUUUUCAUUAAUCAAGAACGAAAGUUAGGGGAUCGAAGACGAUCAGAUACCGUCGUAGUC
rnacentral:rRNA from 1 species